ensembl:lncRNA novel transcript, antisense to TNXB
GCAAGGGGAGCCUGGAAGGGGCACAGAGUGAAGACGGAGCCCCUGUGCCCCCAGAGGCAUCUCUCAGCCAUCCCAGCCCUGCUGAACCCUUCAUCUCCCCAUGUGCUGCCCUGACAAGGAGCUGAAAAAGAGACUUUGCUACAGAGGAGAAAUAUCCCAGCUGAGUGGGAACCCACUACCCCCAGCUUCACAGUGAGGACUGGGUCUCUCUAUCCUGCUACAGACCUCACCACUGAGGUGUAACUUGGCCAAGUCACGGGUGAAAGGUACGUGAGGGAGCCCAUAUGUGCUUGAUUCUGCCACAUGGGUGACGGCCCAGGUGUCUGCACACCAGGUCAGAUCCCCAUGGUGGCAGGUGUGUGGUGUUCCUGGGUCAGGGCGUGCCUGCACUGCAUGUGGCUGUGGCCAGAUGCCCAGUAAGCUCCAUGUGGCCGAGGGCAAAGGCACACAUGGGCUUUUGCGUGGGUGUCCCCGUGUGUGUCCGUGUGUCUGGGUGUGUGUGGCUGUUUUUUUCCUGGCUUUGAUGGGGAGGAUGAAGUCAGCAUCUUGGACAGAGCCAGGCUCAGCUUCCUUCCUCUGCCUUGGCCUGAAGCCCCCAGAGCCAGCAGUAGGUAGCAGCUUCCCAAGGAUCUCCUGGCAGGAGGUGGGGAGCCCUGCAGUGAUAGGAAGAGGGAGGGUCUGGAGACAGUAUCACACAGAGGGCAGAACACAGGGUAUGAAUUUCCUCUGACACCUUCAGAUUUCUGUUCCAUGGUCAUAUCCUUUAGUGUGUGUGUGCACGCGCGUGUGCCUAUGCCCUAUGUCCUGGCUUUAUUAUUUAGGAAGAAUGGUCAACAUAAGUACAUUUGGCACAGAGAGUGGCCAGGGACCUCAGAGAAGACAGCAAGAAGGAUGGUCCUGGGAUGUUCUGGAAGCCCACUGUUGGGGUCUCAGAGAGAAAUGUGGGAUUCCAGAUGUACACAAGCUUAUAAGGCAUUUGGGGAAGCCACUGGAAGCUUAGCAGAUAUAGUUUCAGGUUCUGAAAUUAUCUUUGUUUACCAUUUGAUUCACCCUUUGGUUUCCAGGCUCAUGGAGAAGCUCAUGUCUUGUAUGUUCACAUCUUGUAAGAAAAGCACCAAGCCUUGCACAGUGUAGGUGACCAAUAAAUGCAAGUCAACACUGAAAUGUGAAAGGACUGGGAGAGAGGAGGGGGAAAGGGUAAGGAGCCCAGGCGUGAAGGCAGGGAAGCCCAGUGGUCAGAGCUGGGGUUGGCUUCACUGAGGUGUCUGGGUGGUGGUGGGUAGAAAGGUCAGUGUUGUCCAGAACUGUCCACAAGCUCCGGCUGUUCUCUGUAACCUCAGUCCCUGUGUCUUCAGCUCUGAGCCUCCCUCCUUGAAUGAUCCUCCAAGUUCCUGUCCUGACCUCAGGAGGAAAAGGGAUGAAAGAUAGAGAAAAGGAAAGGAAAGAUAGGGAGGAGAGAAGGCAGACACAUAAGAGUAAGGGCAAUUGAGGGCAAGGACCUGAAGGAUGAAGACAGGGGAACAAGAGAUGCCAGGGGCUGCGGUCCAAGAAAGCAGUCCCAGAGAGGGGAAAGAUAGAAAACACUUGUGCCGGGCUUCCGUUUACAAAACAGUUUCCUACACAGUGCGGGCAUUAAUCCCACUUUGUGGCUGAGGAAACGGAGGCUCAUAGACAUUAAGGGUCUUGUUCAAGGGGCUAAGUCAGUAGUGGUGAAGGUGGGUCUCACCCAGGUGUUCUCAUUCCUAAGCCUGUAUUCGCUCUUCUCCCCAAACAACUCCAGGAAAGGAAAGGAUUGAAGACUUAGGGAACAAAUGAAGUGGCUUCUUUGAAGCACUUGUACAAAGAAGGGUGGAGAAUCCAGAUUUUUGAAACUUUUCUGCAUCCAGUUAUUGUGUAGAUUCACUUAGAAGAAAUGGCAUCAGAUGGGGAAGGGGGUGGUCAACAUUCCAUUAUUGAGAACUGGGGGUCGGGUGAGGAUGGGGAACACAGAAUGUAAAGACAGAGAGCAGGAUGAAAGAUGGGAGAGAACUAAGAGGCUACAGCUGAAAAGGGGGCAAGGGAGCCUCAGAAGGAAGGGUUUGGACCCUUAAAACUUCCUUUGCCUAGAGACAUGGGUGUGGGGAGAAGGGAGGAGGAAGGACAUUUCUAUCUCGUGACAAAAGAAAGUCACACAAUUGUUUUGUUCUCUGCUCUGAGGCGGGUGGGCGCCUGUAUUUACCAGAGGGACCCAGGUCGCUGUGGCAACCACACAUCUGGGCCCCGGAAUCCAGAUGUGCUGUAUCCAGAAGCCAUAGCAGAACGAUGAGGCAAACAUCAGGCUCCCCAGUGCUGGCCCCCACAGCUGGGAAGAGGAUGGAGAACUGGUGUGGGAAGUAAAGGGAGUGGGGGAAGGAAGGAGGAGGAGAGGACCAAAGUGGGGGAAAAGAGAGGACAUAAUGGAAAGGGGCAAGAAAUGUGGACGAGGGAGCAGAAUGGGAAAUAGAAA